AAUGAUGUGCAAUAAAUAUGGGUGGAACCAGGUCAGAAUCGGAAGAUAGCAGCCUUAACAUUUUCAUAUUUAUGUGCACUUUUUUUUG
rnacentral:SRP_RNA from 1 species